AGGAUGCUGUGCUUGUAAUGGGAGGCGUUGUUGGGAGAUGUGGUGGACAGGAAGGCAAGACCAGCAGGGUUCCGAUAGAACACUCUGGACAAAAAUCUGAUGCUUUGGCUGCAUGCAAACCUCUAUGCCACCGACUAACAGCCAGAGGUUUCUAUUAGUUGGAUUGUCCAGAGAAAAGCAAGACAUGAAGUCAGACUAAUGUAGCUGACUGGCGGUGGCAGCCCAAGACCUCAGCCCACCAGGUCAGCCGAGACCCCCCAACCCCCCGCCAUGGCAUCAGCUCACUCUCAGAGGAGGGCAGGUGCCCUCCUCUGACCACACUUGUGAGAAUCACAGCCUCUCCAGAUUGGAUUGCUGUCUUGGCUUUGGUCUUUGAGGUGUUCUGGAGCUCGUUCCAGCCCCCACAGGUUGUCAUGGUGCCUGCUGCUCAAAGUUGUGAUUGGUCAGAGCUGCAGAUUGUCUCCAUGGCAAUAGAAAGGAUCUGUGCAGAAAGGACGCUUGGCCUUGGAAAUGAACUCAUGGGAACACUCCUGGGAAAUGAGCCUCCUCUGCAGGGAGAGAGUGGGGGCGAGGGGAGGGAGGCCAGCAGAGAUACUCCCCGCUAGAGACAGAUGCUGGCUCUCUUCAGCCCGGCUACCCACCCUGGUGGCCCAACUCCCCAACUGCACGUUGCUGCUGUGCUCAUAGCCAGAGGAUGUCGACUUCAAAUUCCUGGCUGUACCAAAUAAAGUGCAAGUCAGGAAAGCAGAGUUGAGGCAGGGUCACGUGUCCGUUCAGUGGCCCACAGACGCUCUCUCUGCCCACUCCGCUGCUUUUGACCCUCUUCCUUCCCAAGUCCACACAGUUCAGCCUCUCUCCAACCCUGACCUGACCCUGGACCACUCAAACGGCUGAAAAUAAUGUCCUUCCUCCCCCCAUAAGACCUUCAAAAAUGAAAUAAACAUCCACUAGUUCCCAGUC